AGUGAACGCUGGCGGUAGGCCUAACACAUGCAAGUCGAACGGCAGCACAGUAAGAGCUUGCUCUUACGGGUGGCGAGUGGCGGACGGGUGAGGAAUACAUCGGAAUCUACUUUUUCGUGGGGGAUAACGUAGGGAAACUUACGCUAAUACCGCAUACUACCUACGGGUGAAAGCAGGGGAUCUUCGGACCUUGCGCGAUUGAAUGAGCCGAUGUCGGAUUAGCUAGUUGGCGGGGUAAAGGCCCACCAAGGCGACGAUCCGUAGCUGGUCUGAGAGGAUGAUCAGCCACACUGGAACUGAGACACGGUCCAGACUCCUACGGGAGGCAGCAGUGGGGAAUAUUGGACAAUGGGCGCAAGCCUGAUCCAGCCAUACCGCGUGGGUGAAGAAGGCCUUCGGGCUGUAAAGCCCUUUUGUUGGGAAAGAAAAGCAGCAGGUUAAUACCCCGCUGUUCUGACGGUACCCAAAGAAUAAGCACCGGCUAACUUCGUG
rnacentral:rRNA from 1 species